rnacentral:rRNA from 1 species
GAUUGAACACUGGUGGCAGGCCUAACACAUGCAAGUCGAGCGGCAUCGAGUGAGCGCAGUUUACUGAGUUCAUGUCGGCGAGCGGCGGACGGGUGAGUAAAGUCUGGGAAUCUGGCCGAAGGAGGGGGAUAACUGCUGGAAACGGCAGCUAAUACCGCAUGAAGUCGCGAGACCAAAGUGGGGGACCUUCGGGCCUCACGCCUUCGGAUGAGCCCAGAUGAGAUUAGCUGGUAGGUAAGGUAAAGGCUUACCUAGGCGACGAUCUCUAGCGGGUCUGAGAGGAUAGCCCGCCACACUGGAACUGAGACACGGUCCAGACUCCUACGGGAGGCAGCAGUGGGGAAUAUUGCACAAUGGGCGAAAGCCUGAUGCAGCCAUGCCACGUGUGUGAAGAAGGCCUCGGGU